GCGGCGUGCUCGAAAAUGUUAAAGUUCUUAUUUCAUGGUAUAACUUUGGUAUGCUUGGACCUAGAGUCUUCAAACUUGACAUGAAGGUUGGCCAGGAUUAACAGAUGACCACUGGUCAUUUCAAGGUCAUUCAUUUGAAGGUCAAGGUCACUGUGACCUUCAAUAUAAAAAUGUUAAAGUUGUUAUUACUUUGGUAUGCUUGGACCUAGAGUCUUGAAACUUGACAUGAAGGUUGGCCAGAACUAGUAAGUAACCACUGGACAUUUCAAGGUCAUUCAUUUGAAGGUCAAGGUCACUGUGACCUUGAAUGUAAAAAUGUUAAAGUUGUUAUAACUUUGGUAUGCUUGGACCUAGAGUCUUGAAACUUGACAUGAAGGUUGGCCAGAACUAGUAAGUAACCACUGGACAUUUCAAGGUCAUUCAUUUGAAGGUCAAGGUCACUGUGACCUUGAAUGUAAAAAUGUUAAAGUUCUUAUUUCAUGUUAUAACUUUGGUAUGCUUGUACCUAGAGUCUUCAAACUUGAAAUAAAGAUUGGCCAGUACUAGAAGAUGACCACUGGUCAUUUCAAUGUCAUUCAUUUGAAGGUCAAGGUCACUGUGACCUUAAAUGUUAAAAUGUUAAAAUUGUUAUAACUUUGGUA